AUUGAACGCUGGCGGCAUGCCUAACACAUGCAAGUCGAGCGGAUGAAGGGAGCUUGCUCCUGGAUUCAGCGGCGGACGGGUGAGUAAUGCCUAGGAAUCUGCCUUGUAGUGGGGGAUAACGUCCGGAAACGGGCGCUAAUACCGCAUACGUCCUGAUGGAGAAAGUGGGGGAUCUUCGGACCUCACGCUAUCAGAUGAGCCUAGGUCGGAUUAGCUAGUUGGUGGGGUAAAGGCCUACCAAGGCGACGAUCCGUAACUGGUCUGAGAGGAUGAUCAGUCACACUGGAACUGAGACACGGUCCAGACUCCUACGGGAGGCAGCAGUGGGGAAUAUUGGACAAUGGGCGAAAGCCUGAUCCAGCCAUGCCGCGUGUGUGAAGAAGGUCUUCGGAUUGUAAAGCACUUUAAGUUGGGAGGAAGGGCAGUAAGUUAAUACCUUGCUGUUUUGACGUUACCAACAGAAUAAGCAACGGCUAACUUCGUG
rnacentral:rRNA from 1 species